GGAAAGAUGGCCGAGUGGUUUAAGGCAACAGUCUUGAAAACUGUCGAGGUGAAAGCCUCCGUGAGUUCGAAUCUCACUCUUUCCG
rnacentral:tRNA from 1 species